GGGGGUAAAGGAAGAUAUGGGACAAAUAUUGCACUAAGUCUAUAGUAAGUAAAAGCAAUUUGAGGACCCAUGGGGCUAAAUUUUGAUUUGAUGCUCUUAAAAGACCCGUACAUAUUUUUAUUAUUAUCAUGAUUGCUUGUGUGUUUUUUUCUUUUUUUCUUUUUAGUUUGUAUUUCUACUAUUGAGAAAGAUGAUAGUAUAGUUGUUAUGAAUGGUAUAUAAGUUAAUUUUCACAUUUUGAAAAUGUAAUUCUACUUUUUCACCAUUUUCAACUCAUCAAGC
rnacentral:lncRNA from 1 species